GGCUGGUCUGAAGGUAGUGAGUUAUCUCACUUGAUUGUUUAGGGUCGGUUACACAUUGAACUCCUUGUUCCACUCUCUCCUCACUUCUCACUACUGUGCUUGACUAGUCAAAA
rnacentral:Y_RNA from 1 species